rnacentral:lncRNA from 1 species
CAUCCUCUUCUUGAAUGAUGCAAAUCCCUAAUUAAAACCCUCUGGUAGACAUCAGAGUUUAGGGGUUUUUUAGGGUUUAUUAGGGUUUUUUUUUAUGGUUUUUAGAUUUUUUAGGGAUUUUUAGGGGUUUUUAGGUGUUUGUUAUUAGAUGGUUUUUAGGGUUGCCAUGGAUUUCCACUGCGGUACACGCAGGUGUAUUCCGCGUACCCCCAGUUGCUCCACACAUCCAGUUUGAUCCUUUAUUACAUUAACAGCAUGCAGCAAGUGGAGCUGCUGCAGGAGCUGGAGCAGGCUCAUGAGCAGCUCAUGGAGAACCGCACGGCCACGGCCAGGGAGUCUUUGUUGAAGAAUGCCCAGCAAAUACGGGCUGAAAGAACGGCUGCCCGUAAAGAGGAGCUGGAGCAGGUAGGGGGCAGUGAGGGCUCGUCCUCACAGCUCGGCAUCCUCACGCCUCCCUGCUGUGGCAGAGACCUCCUCGCGUCCCUAAUCCCCGGCGUACCUGGGACCAACCGCAGCCACCUGGUGGGUUAUCUACUCCGCUCCGCUUUGGUCUUGAGAGCAGCACUCAUUGCCCAGCCUGGAAGAGCAGCUCGCACGUGCUGA